rnacentral:rRNA from 1 species
UACACUCCUGCGGGAGGCAGCAGUGGGGAAUAUUGGACAAUGGGCGCAAGCCUGAUCCAGCCAUACCGCGUGAGUGAUGAAGGCCCUAGGGUUGUAAAGCUCUUUCACCGGUGAAGAUAAUGACGGUAACCGGAGAAGAAGCCCCGGCUAACUUCGUGCCAGCAGCCGCGGUAAUACGAAGGGGGCUAGCGUUGUUCGGAUUUACUGGGCGUAAAGCGCACGUAGGCGGACUAUUAAGUCAGGGGUGAAAUCCCGGGGCUCAACCCCGGAACUGCCUUUGAUACUGGUAGUCUUGAGUUCGAGAGAGGUGAGUGGAAUUCCGAGUGUAGAGGUGAAAUUCGUAGAUAUUCGGAGGAACACCAGUGGCGAAGGCGGCUCACUGGCUCGAUACUGACGCUGAGGUGCGAAAGCGUGGGGAGCAAACAGGAUUAGAAACCCUAGUAGUCCC